AUUGAACGCUGGCGGCAUGCCUUACACAUGCAAGUCGAACGGUAACAGGUCUUCGGAUGCUGACGAGUGGCGAACGGGUGAGUAAUACAUCGGAACGUGCCCGAGAGUGGGGGAUAACGAGGCGAAAGCUUUGCUAAUACCGCAUACGAUCUCAGGAUGAAAGCAGGGGACCGCAAGGCCUUGCGCUCACGGAGCGGCCGAUGGCAGAUUAGGUAGGUAGUGGGAUAAAAGCUUACCAAGCCGACGAUCUGUAGCUGGUCUGAGAGGACGACCAGCCAAACGGGGACUUAGAAGCGGCCCAGACUCAUACGGGAGGCAGCAGUGGGGAAUUUUGGACAAUGGGCGCAAGCCUGAUCCAGCCAUGCCGCGCGCAGGAUGAAGGCCUUCGGGUUGUAAACUGCUUUUGUACGGAACGAAAAGACUCCUUCUAAUAAAGGGGGUCCAUGACGGUACCGUAAGAAUAAGCACCGGCUAACUACGUGCCAGCCGCCGCGGUAACAC
rnacentral:rRNA from 1 species